rnacentral:rRNA from 1 species
GUCCACGCCCUAAACGGUGGGCAUUAGGUGUAGGGUCCGCAAGGGUUCUGUGCCGAAGGGAAACCAUUAAAUGCCCCGCCUGGGGGAGUACGGCCGCAAGGUUGAAACUCAAAGGAAUUGACGGGGGCCCGCACAAGCGGUGGAGCAUGUGGUUUAAUUCGACGCUACGCGAAGAACCUUACCUGGGCUUGACAUGUUAGUGGUAAGAGCCCGAAAGGGUGAUGAUUCCCGAGUAAUCGGGAAAGCUAACACAGGUGCUGCAUGGCUGUCGU